CUCCAGGAAGCCCUCCUCUCCAUGCUUCCCUUCGUCACGCCUGCAAAGACCCUGCUUCCACACAAGACCUCUCCGUCUGACUCGGUGGCACGAGGGCCGUUUGGCAUCAGGCUCACCCCACAGACCACUCACCCCACGCCUCCAUCUACACCGCAGACCACUCACCCCACGCCUCCAUCUACGCCGCAGACCACUCACCCCACGCCUCCAUCUACGCCGCAGACCAUUCACCCCUGCUGGGAGGACGGCAUCUUCCGGGAACAAAGCCUGUAGGCCCUGAGGCUGGUGGUAAACAGCUCAGGACCGAGUCCCAGAGUCUUAGCUUCCCAUUGAUGUCUCUGAGGGAUUCAGGCUCUGCUUGAUCAAGCUGCUCCUCCAGGAAACACCACAUUCCCCAGUUCCUAGAAAGCCU
rnacentral:lncRNA from 1 species